rnacentral:rRNA from 1 species
GUAAGGUAAGGGAGGCCCAACAGAAAAAAGACCUUGAAUUAGCUGAGAAUAUCAAGCUUGCUGACGAGAAGUUAGCUUCAGUCACCAAGCUUAAACAAGACAAUACCAAUCUGAAAGCUGCUCUUGGGAUCGCCAACAAGGAAGUCAGUCGACUGAAAAUUGAUAAAGCUGCCCUGACCGACCAAGUCAGUAAGUUGACUGGGAAGAAAAAUGAUCUGGAGCCCUUCCUGAGUGGUCUUGCCAAGAAGCUGUUCCUUAUGCUUGAAGAAUUUUGUCAAAACUUUGAAGAAGAAACUAGCCGGCUGGAACCAAACCUCGACCCCGUCAAUUCUCCGGUGAACGACGAAGUUGCCAUGAAUGUUUUCUGACUGGAGUCCCGUGUUGCAGCUGUCGUGGACUAUCUUGCAAGGCUGAAGGUCGCCACAUCUCGCAUCGACUCGACGCUCUGGCCCGGGGAGACACUUCAGAAUGACCUCGAGUCGCUGAUGGCUCGCUUGAACACGAUCCCUGGUCGAGUGCAGGAGUGGAAAAAGUCCUCGGCUCGGUGCGGUGCAGAUGUUGCUCUGUGUCUGGCCCGAGUUCACUGCAAAGAUGCGCGAGAAGAAAAGCUGGCGGCCCUCCGGGUGGCCAACACCAAGAAACACGACUUCAGGUCCUUUAUGGAAACUUUCCUUGCAGCUGCCACUCGGAUCGCGGAUGGAAUUGAUCUUGAUGAGUUUGUUGCACCUUCCAGCCCUCCACAGGAGGGGUAAAAAACUUCUUCUAAGCUCGACGCUUUAAAUUUGCCUCGGUAUGCCGAGUGGAGGUGUAACCGAUAAACUUUAACAGGUCUAGUGCCUGAGCACUUUCGGUUCCUUUUGGUAUCGAUCCCAAC